AUUGAACGCUGGCGGCAGGCCUAACACAUGCAAGUCGAGCGAGCGGCGGACGGGUGAGUAAGGUAUGGGGACUGCCCGAUAGAGGGGGCUAACAACUGGAAACGGUAGCUAAUAACGCAUACUAUCGGAUAACCCAUAUGGGAGUAGCUAGUAUGUGAGGUAAUGGCUCACCUAGGCGACGAUCCCGAGCUGGUCUGAGAGGAGUGUAACCCCCAUUGGGACUGAGACACUGCCCAGACUCGUCCCCAACUACCCAUAACCAAUAUUGCACAAUGAGCGCAAGCCUGAUUCAGCCAUGCCGCGUGUAUGAAGAGUUCCCUAGGGUUUUAAAGUACUUUCAGUCGGGAGGCGUUACCGACAGAAGAAGCACCGGCUAACUCCGUGCCAGCAGCCGCGGUAAUAC
rnacentral:rRNA from 1 species